rnacentral:rRNA from 1 species
AUUGAACGCUGGCGGCAGGCCUAACACAUGCAAGUCGAACGGUAACAGGAAGCAGCUUGCUGCUUUGCUGACGAGUGGCGGACGGGUGAGUAAUGUCUGGGAAACUGCCUGAUGGAGGGGGAUAACUACUGGAAACGGUAGCUAAUACCGCAUAACGUCGCAAGACCAAAGAGGGGGACCUUCGGGCCUCUUGCCAUCGGAUGUGCCCAGAUGGGAUUAGCUAGUAGGUGGGGUAACGGCUCACCUAGGCGACGAUCCCUAGCUGGUCUGAGAGGAUGACCAGCCACACUGGAACUGAGACACGGUCCAGACUCCUACGGGAGGCAGCAGUGGGGAAUAUUGCACAAUGGGCGCAAGCCUGAUGCAGCCAUGCCGCGUGUAUGAAGAAGGCCUUCGGGUUGUAAAGUACCUUCAGCGGGGAGGAAGGGAGUAAAGUUAAUACCUUGGCUAAUUGACGUUACCCGCAGAAGAAGCACCGGCUAACUCCGUG